CACACUGUAAACGAUGAUAACUCGCUGUCGGCGAUACACCGUCGGUGGCCAAGCGAAAGCGAUAAGUUAUCCACCUGGGGAGUACGACCGCAAGGUUGAAACUCAAAGGAAUUGACGGGGGCCCGCACAAGCGGAGGAACAUGUGGUUUAAUUCGAUGAUACGCGAGGAACCUUACCCGGGCUCGAACGGUGCAUGAAUAGAUCAGAGAUGGUUUAGUCCUUCGGGACAUGUAUCGAGGUGC
rnacentral:rRNA from 1 species